GCCAAUUCCAUACCCUUUUCUUUUCUAUACGCAGCUAAAAGAGUGAAUUUCAUAAAUUUCAACUUAUAUCAAGGAUCAAUCACUAUUGCAAUAUAAAUUAUUUUAUUAAUCUUAUUAGGAUCCCCUAAGUAUUUAUCAAAUUUCACCUUCAUCCUAUCACUCGUACACGCAAUUCUAACAUCAUUUCCUUUCCACUCUUGCAAUAAACAGUCAACUGAACUGAUCCCAUUAAAAAGUAUAUUAAAAGUGACAUAUCUAGAUCCUAAUAUUCUCAAGGUAAGAUCAUAA
rnacentral:misc_RNA from 1 species